CAGUCAAUCUGCUGGGGGCAGAUGAAAUGGAUAUGGGAAUCGAUGCCUCCGGCAGUCACGAUCAUCCCCUCCGCCGCUAGGGCCUCCGUGGACGCGCCCACCGUCAUUCCUUCUGUCACACCGUCCAUAAUAUCCGGAUUUCCUGCUUUUCCGAUCCCCGCGAUCCUGCCGUCCCGGAUUCCGAUAUCCGCCUUAUAGAUUCCGGUGUAAUCUAUGACCACGGCAUUGGUAAGCACCAGGUCUAAAUCCCCGUCUGCCCUCGUUGUCUUCACGGACUGCCCCAUGCCGUCCCG
rfam:Lactonifactor longoviformis DSM 17459 genome assembly, contig: EJ64DRAFT_scaffold00010.10